CCUACGGGUGGCAGCAGUGGGGAAUAUUGCACAAUGGGGGGAACCCUGAUGCAGCAACGCCGCGUGGGUGAAGAAGUAUUUCGGUACGUAAAGCCCUGUCAGCAGGGAAGAAGGAGACGGUACCUGACCAAGAAGCCCCGGCUAACUACGUGCCAGCAGCCGCGGUAAUACGUAGGGGGCAAGCGUUAUCCGGAUUUACUGGGUGUAAAGGGAGCGUAGACGGCAGUGCAAGUCUGGAGUGAAAGCCCAGGGCUGAACCACGGGACUGCUCUGGAAACUGCGGAGCUGGAGUGCAGGAGAGGGAAGCGGAAUUACUAGUGGUGCGGUGAAAUGCGGAGAUAUUAGGGGG
rnacentral:rRNA from 1 species